AGCAGCCGCGGUAAUUCCAGCUCCAAUAGCGUAUAUUAAAGUUGUUGCAGUUAAAAAGCUCGUAGUUGAAUUUCGGGACUAAUAUGUCGGUCGUACUUUGUACGUACUAGCAUUAUUGGUUUCUCCCUUCUGACGAACCACGAUGUCAUUAAUUUGGUGUCUUGGGAAAUCAGAACUGUUACUUUGAAAAAAUUAGAGUGUUUAAAGCAAGCUCGCGCUUGAAUACAUUAGCAUGGAAUAAUGAAAUAGGACGUUUGAUUCUAUUUUGUUGGUUUCUAGGAUCGACGUAAUGAUUAAUAGGGAUAGUUGGGGGCAUUAGUAUUCAAUUGUCAGAGGUGAAAUUCUUGGAUUUAUUGAAGACUAACUACUGCGAAAGCAUUUGCCAAGGAUGUUUUCAUUAAUCAAGAAUGAAAGUUAGGGGAUCGAAGACGAUCAGAUACCGUCGUAGUCUUAACCAUAAACUAUGCCGACUAGGAAUCGGAUGAUGUUAAUUUUUAAUGACUCAUUCGGCGCCUUACGG
rnacentral:rRNA from 1 species